CAAUAGCGUAUAUUAAAGUUGUUGCAGUUAAAAGCUCGUAGUUGGAUCUCGGGUGCAGGCUGGCGGUUCCACUCUCGUGCGACACUGCUCGUCCUGACCUCACUGGUCGGUCUCCUCUUGGUGCCCUUGAUUGGGUGUCUCGAGUGGCCGGAACGUUUACUUUGAAAAAUUAGAGUGUUCAAAGCAGGCAGUUCGCCUGAAUAAUGUUGCAUGGAAUAAUGGAAUAGGACCUCGGUUCUAUUUUGUUGGUUUUCGGAAGUCGAGGUAAUGAUUAAGAGGGACAGACGGGGGCAUUCGUAUUACGGUGUUAGAGGUGAAAUUCUUGGAUCGCCGUAAGACGAACUACUGCGAAAGCAUUUGCCAAGAAUGUUUUCAUUAAUCAAGAACGAAAGUCAGAGGUUCGAAGACGAUUAGAUACCGU
rnacentral:rRNA from 1 species